rnacentral:rRNA from 1 species
GUAGCAUGUUGGUUGCUUGCAACCGAUGAUGACGACCGGCGCACGGGUGAGUAACGCGUAUCCAACUUGGCUUAUACUUAGGGAUAACCCGUUGAAAGACGGCCUAAUACCUAAUAGUUUAUAAUAGUUGCAUGACUUUUAUAAUAAAGAUUUAUCGGUAUAAGAUAGGGAUGCGUCUGAUUAGUUAGUUGGUGAGGUAACGGCUCACCAAGGCAUCGAUCAGUAGGGGUUCUGAGAGGAAGGUCCCCCACAUUGGAACUGAGACACGGUCCAAACUCCUACGGGAGGCAGCAGUGAGGAAUAUUGGUCAAUGGACGUAAGUCUGAACCAGCCAAGUAGCGUGCAGGAUGACGGCCCUAUGGGUUGUAAACUGCUUUUAUGUGAGAGUAAAGUUAACUACGUGUAGUUAUUUGCAUGUAUCACAUGAAUAAGGACCGGCUAAUUCCGUGCCAGCAGCCGCGGUAAUACGGAAGGUCCAGGCGUUAUCCGGAUUUAUCGGGUUUAAAGGGAGC